rnacentral:lncRNA from 1 species
CGUCUAACGUAAUAACAUCUUAGUACAGCGGAUUAUCAAUAGUGUACAAGGUGACCUUAUCAAAAUAAAGUUGAAAGUUUUUCGGCAGUACAGAAGAGACAGUACGUUAAAAGUGUAUAUUUCUAUAACACAUUGAAGGUAAGUGUAUUUCUAUUGUUAUCGAAUAAGAUGUUUUAUUUAUGUUGACUACACUAAUUAAUUUGGUCGAAGAAAUAGCAAGAAUAACCGAAGAUAUUGACCAGAACAACAAGCUACAUAAACCACUAACAACCGACUUAUUCGAUAAGAAAGCAUCCACAAUAGACAAACAAAAAAAUAUAACAACUAUUCCAAAUAGUCAGACUUGUUAAAUAAAGGCAACAGUAGUGUACCAGUGUUCAACAUCAUAAAUCGAUUGAGAGAAUGCAAAUUCGAUAAACAAACUAAAACGGAAGGAAAUACAUCACAUUAAAGUGAUAAAAAUAGUUGUAAGUACGCACCAUCUGCACUUUGCUUAUCUAGACCACAUAACUUUCAAGUCAAAAACACUAUAACAUCGACAAAGUGCAAAUGUCAACAUGAUGACUACGAACCUGUAAAAGGAAAGAAAAAUAAAUCAACAAUCUUUAAAUUAUUUUUGAGAAUAUACAAAAAGAAUCCUUAAUAUAAGCAGAUGAGAUGAAGGUAAUUCGGGUGAUGUGUCUCUAACGACAGUGAAAAUAUGUCCAUUACUUUUUUUCAAUAUUUUUACUAAAAUAUUUACAUAAGUAUAAUAUGAGUGUUGAUAAGUCUGCAUAUAAAUACAAAAAAAAAGGCAACUCAAUAUUUUGUUUGAUUUCCCAAUAAUGGAAAAGAGGGCGAUGAAUAUAAAAAAAAAUGACAUGUUUACCUCUAAAAACACUUUUUUAUUUCAGGAACCAUUAUUAACAUUUUGAAAACGUUUAUGUUUGCAAAAGUAUUUUUUCUGUUACAGUGAUAACUUUAUUCUCUCUACUUUUUAACUUACUAGCGACAUGUUGUCUUCGAUCUUUAAAUGACAUAAUAGCUGUCUGAGCUAUGAAUUGAUUGAGGCAUAUUGCCGAGUGUGGCAUAUUGACUUCCAUUUCACCAUCUUCAUGUCGACGCACCAUAUCUUUUUUAAUUUGUUAAUUUUGUCGCAGUAUUGUCCACCAAAACAUCAAGCCAGUGUCAAAAUGACAAACACCUGAAAUAGUUGUUUAAAAAUAAAAGGAUUUGAAUUACACGAACUGUCCUUAACUAUUAUGUUGAUACCUGAUUUGACAUGCAUUUUUGUAUUGAAUAUUUGCAUAAAAUAAAAUUGAAAUAUAGAAUUACAAAAAAAUGUAUAUAAAAGGCAAACGUAAUUACACAGAUCAGUACCAAUUUAUCAUAUUUCAUCUUUAAAUACUAAUUCUUGAGAUUUUCAUCAAAAGAACCAUGAUAUUAUAUUUCCGUAUUAUAUAAUACACUUGUAGUUAUAUUUUAAAGUUUAAACAAAUUGCAUCAUACACAUAUAAAAGAGUUGAGUUUACAUGAUAAUAGUGUAAAAUAUAUAAUUAAGCUAGUACUGUGUGAACUAUUGACAUAAAUUUAAUUUGUGACUUGACGGCAAUAAAAACGAAACUCUAUACGUAAGAUUAUUAAAAUAUUCAUUCACAAAAUCUUAAUAAGUGUUCGGAUAGAAUAUGCAUCUGUUGGUUGGGAUUGGUUACGCAUGUUGAAGCAGUGAAACGUGCGUCAAAGCCUUCCCAUUUGCGUCCAGAUAAAUUUUGUCAAAGUAAAACACACAAACGUUUACGUUUCGAGACUAAUACAUUGGGAAUUUAAAUGCAAAAUGAUAACAUGAUUGUUUGCACAUUUGACUUAGAUCACAGCCUUUUAUGUAAUGAAUAUGAAAUUAAAUAUUAUAUAACAUUUCAAUGUUAUUUGCAUUUGUAUAGAAUAUAACGAUACUGUUAUAAUUUGAACAAAAAUAACUUAUUUUAAAAUGUUUGGUCAUUAGUUGGUAAUAUUGCAUUCAUUACAAUACUUUUGGUGUGCAGACUUUGUUAGAAUUUAAAGCAAGGACAUUUUAAAACAUAUUUAAUUGUUUUUGACAGGCAAAAUUUGAAAUAUUUACGGGGUAUAUCUACAGUUAGUAUGUCAUGUUCAUUUCUUUUGAAAAUCGGAGAAGCAAUCUUUAUUUUGUCGAAAUUCAAUCUCCAAAUUAAGGUCAAGAUGUCUUAUUAAUCAUUUUUGUCCCUCACAAAGUUAAAUGAUCUUUACCAUCUAUACUUUUAAACGAGAAGACCUCAUUUUGUGUGUCGCUUCUCUUCCUUCCACAAUGAACUAAUCAUCAUGCCAAUCUGUGUCUAUGGUACAUGCAUAAAUCGCAAUCUGUCAUUCAUUCUUAUGAGUAUUCAGUUUGGGUUAUUUUGGGAGAAAACGGAAAUAUAAGGCAUCCGGAUAUUGUUCCGCAUCAAACCCGACUUUUAAGUCAAACAUGACAACACGGUAUUAAAACUUACAACAUAAUCUUUUAAAUAAGUACUCAAGACAGGGCAAUUAUUUUCGCAGUUUAUCUGCAUGCUUUACUAAUGAUAUACUACUACAUUAUAUAUAUGAAGACCUCUAUAUAUAUCGCAGUGAUCGCGUAUUGAGAAGAAACUUAGAAGCAACAUGACGGUGCCACAUUGGAGCAAGGAUCUGGCUUACGCCUUUCGGAGCACUGCGAUCACCGUUAGUUUUUUGGUGGGGUUCGUGUUUGUUUUUCUUUAAGUUUUCUAUGUUGGGUUGUCUGUGUAACUAAUUGUUUUGGUCAGUUUUUUUUUCAUUUUUAGCAAUGGCGGUUUGUCAGUUUUAUUUUUGAAUUUAUGUGUUAACUGUCGCCUACUGGUGUCUUUUGUUCCAUCUUUUAGAAUAAUAAUUAUAUUCAAAUACACUUCAUGCAUAAUUGUUUAGUUAUUUUCAAAGUAUAACAAGCCGACACGAAAUAAAUGGAAUAUAACUUGGACCCCAAAAUAAUAAGGACUUUGAAAAAAAAGGGAGAUGGCUUUAAAUUAUGUGUCCUGUCUCCAUGUACCUAUAUGACUUUUGCUAUCUUUUCUGAAAUUCUCCAGACAUAAAAUCUUUUACAGCAAAUCAUCCUACAAUAGUUUACAUACUUUCAACCAAACUUUAAAUGCCCACGAUUUCGCGGGUGUAUUCUAGUAUUUAAAUUUUUAAACCUUUACUGUCUUUUUGUUUCAGAAAAUGAACAACGUUUUCUGUGAACUCAUCUGGUUAAAUCUCAUAGUACUGUUUGGUAAAAGCAUGUCUGACGACGAAUGUGUUUUCAUGGUAACUAACAGUUCUGAGAAGAAAGUUGAGUUUAACACUUUUUUAACUUCUGGAAUAAAAAUGAUAUAUAUCGAAGUAAUUAUUUCAGAUGACAAACUAUAUGCUAAUAACAGCAACUACAAUAUAAAACAGGAGAGCGGUCUAUUCAGAUGGGUUUGGACAAAGAACGAAAUGUCAUUUUUAUUAUCAUAUACUGAAGAUAUUCAUGCGAUUUCCUUCGACCUUCUAAAAGGAGAUUACAUUGAAGAUCUUACAAUAUAUAUUGACAUCUUCCCAGAAGGAUGUGCCUUUGAUUAUCGAAAUGAUACACACUCGCUGUUUUACCUCCUUCAUGAUACGUUUGUUCAAAAUGAAUCAGACUGGCAGCUGUGUCAUCGAUAUUUCGAAAAUCAAGAAUGGAAAGUUACGCUUUUUAAUUUAACAUCAUACUGGGUCGGUUAUGGAAUGGAAUGUUUUAAACCUUCGUGCAGAACACAAUUGACCAGCUGUGAUUUAUACAUCGAAAAGUCAUUCAUAAAUUACCUAAUUAUUAUCUUUUUGAUAGGCAUAUUCAUUUAUUCUCCAGUCUUGCUUUACUUUUUUCCUGAAAAAAUUUCAAUCAAGAACAUAGAAAACCGACUUCAAAACUAUAACUUUUUUGAUACACCCAAUAGUGUUUCUAGACUUUUUUUGAACUUAAAUAAACAACCUCAUUUCACACUUAUAUCGAACGAAAAUAAAAAGAGCUUUGUUUAUUCAAGGUUGGCACUUUUUGGUAGUAUUGCUUUUUCACAAGAAAACAAAAUACUGACUAUUUUUGUCAUUGUUUGCUCCAUUAUUAACAUUAUAUACAGACGCAUAAGCACGACUUUAAAUGAACAUUGGAAAAAGUAUGAGCACAUUUAUUUGCCGUAUGAUAUCCCAAUACCGUAUAUGGACGAUUCCACAGAAACGUAUUUGUUUAUAUAUUUUAUUGUCUUUGGUUUUUGCUCAGUCUGUAUAAGUAUUCAAAUACGUAUUUUGAGAAAAAAUAAGAAUGUAUAUUUCAUUUUCUCUGUAUGGCAAAACUCAAUAAUGAAAUAUAUUGAUAUAGACAAGCUGUUACAAAGUGGUAACGACAAUCAAGACCAUAACAGGUAUGAAUUAUAUGGUUAUACCUUUUAUGUACUUUCUAUACUUAACAGGGUAGCGUUGCUUUUUACAUGCGCAUUUUACGUGUCAUUGCUGAAACCUCUACGAACAAAAAUUAAGGGAAACACAUGUAAGCGAUUCUGGAAAUUUACAGUUCUUUUACUAAUAACUUUAAUUAAUCUGGUAUCGAAUAUUUUCUUGUGUGCGUUUCCGAUAAUAUGUUUUCUUUUCGCUCCGACAUUGUUUAUAAUUUGCACUUCAAAGAAUUUUGCCAAAAAGUUUUUAGUGCUUUGUUUUUGUGUCGCUAACGCGAUUUCAGCUAUAAUGGUAAUUAGAUACCUCUUUAUAUCAGCAUUAUCAAUUUUGCUGCGAUUUAUUAUCUUCAAUGUCUUUAUUAUAAUUCCAACUAAUCAGACAUCUUUAAAAUUUUGGUCACUUGUUAUAACUGUAUUUUCGUAUCUAAGAAUAUUCUACAAAGAUUUCUAUGAUCCGUACAAUGAAUUAUUAAAAAAGUGUAUUUCAUUUUCGGAAGACAAAUCGUCAAGCAAAGAAACUCCAGAUGAUGCUCAUUCAAACAAAAAGAUGGUGUACGAUACGUUUCUAAACAAAUAUAACGUUGACAACGCAUCUUCAAUCAAAAUGAACUCGGAUAAUUUGAAAGUAUCUAUUCUAAAAUUUCAAAUUAUUGCUAACACGGUUUAUCCAAUUCGUAUUCAAAUUGCCUAUUUGAUUGCCAAGUUGUUGUGUCUCUCCGUUAUCAUAACUGUAAUUGCCCAUGUUAUGACAAAUGAUGUUGGUGGGGAUAGUUUUAUUGAUCAGUACCUUCCCCUAAUUUUGUUUACCGUAACACCUGCAGUAGCUAUGAAAUUAAACAACACAGAUCCAAAUGAACACGUUGAGAAAUACUCACAAUUUAUAAAAGAGACAAUGGAAAAACGCGAAGAAAGAAAGAAUGAAAGUUACACCACAGUAAGCAGUAUGAAAAAACGUAAUCCAUGUAUCUGUUGCAAAUCGAAUUUAUGCAACGUAAAAGAGGGGACAGGAUGUGAGGUUUUAACCUAUAGUUUUCUUAUGUGUUUUG